CAGUCGCCGCGGGAAUACGAAGGGGGCUAGCGUUGCUCGGAAUCACUGGGCGUAAAGGGUGCGUAGGCGGGUCUUUAAGUCAGGGGUGAAAUCCUGGAGCUCAACUCCAGAACUGCCUUUGAUACUGAAGAUCUUGAGUAUGGGAGAGGUGAGUGGAACUGCGAGUGUAGAGGUGAAAUUCGUAGAUAUUCGCAAGAACACCAGUGGCGAAGGCGGCUCACUGGCCCAUAACUGACGCUGAGGCACGAAAGCGUGGGGAGCAAACAGGAUUAGAUACCCCCGUAGUCCCUGUCUCUUAUAC
rnacentral:rRNA from 1 species